UAGCAUAUAAUUAAGCGGAGGAAAAGAAACUAACGAGGAUUCCCCUAGUAACGGCGAGUGAAUGGGGAAAAGCCCAGCGCUAAAUCCUCUAGCUAAUGGCUAGUUGGAAAUGUAGCGUAUAGGUUUGAUCAAAUUUUGGUCGUACACUACAUAAAAUCCUAAGUUUACCUUGAACGGGACCACGAUCCAUAGAAGGUGUCAGACCUGUACGGAUUAUGUUUGUGUACGAUUGAUCAUACUUUAGAGUCGGGUUGCCUGAGAUCGCAGCCCAAAUUGGGUGGUAGACUUCAUCUAAGGCUAAAUAUGGCCACGAGACCGAUAGCAAACAAGUACCGUGAGGGAAAGUUGCAAAGAACUUUGAAGAGAGAGUUCAAGAGGGCGUGAAACCGCUGAGAAUGAAGCGGAUAGAGUCGACGAAACUUAAUCAGUAUUCAACCAACACGUUAAACGGCUUCACGUACGUGACGUCAUGUUAUGCAAAUUUCGUGGCGUUCAUCGUACGCGCUAACUGUAUGAUGUAAAUGUUGGCGUAUUUGCUGAUUGUAUGCAUUGAGAGCUUCGUAUUCGCGCACGAGGAAACUCAACCAAUAGAGGCUUGUCGAUUAGCUAGAGCUUCAACUCUCUUCCGCUACUCGACAAUAACCUAUUGAGAGUUGAUUGCGUGUCGCAUAUGAAGUUUGCGAAUAACGCGCGCAAUUAAUAACCAUCAACUAUUAUUGUUGUAUGCGUUAUUCAAGCGCUCUCCUCUUAUCAUUUUUAAGUGAAUUUAUGCGAUUUAUUUCAUGCGUAUCUUUAUGGUACGUGGGAACGUCGCAUAAAUUUUCAUUUAUUAUUUGAGGAUGCAUUAAUAGCGAUAAAAAAUAAUUGCGUAUCUUGAUGUGAACGUCGAUCACCUAUCCGACCCGUCUUGAAACACGGACCAAGGAGUCUAGCGUAUACGCAAGUCAUUGGGUGUGCGAAUACCUAAAGGCGUAAUGAAAGUGAAUAUCGUAUGUGUAUUUUAUAUAUAUGCGAUUAUUAUGCGAUUUGUGAUGUCU
rnacentral:rRNA from 1 species